GAUGAACGCUGGCGGCGUGCCUAAUACAUGCAAGUCGAGCGAACGGACGAGAAGCUUGCUUCUCUGAUGUUAGCGGCGGACGGGUGAGUAACACGUGGAUAACCUACCUAUAAGACUGGGAUAACUUCGGGAAACCGGAGCUAAUACCGGAUAAUAUUUUGAACCGCAUGGUUCAAAAGUGAAAGACGGUCUUGCUGUCACUUAUAGAUGGAUCCGCGCUGCAUUAGCUAGUUGGUAAGGUAACGGCUUACCAAGGCAACGAUGCAUAGCCGACCUGAGAGGGUGAUCGGCCACACUGGAACUGAGGGACGGUCCAGACUCCUACGGGAGGCAGCAGUAGGGAAUCUGCCGCAAUGGGCGAAAGCCUGACGGGCAACGCCGCGUGAGUGAUGAAGGUCUUCGGAUCGUAAAACUCUGUUAUUAGGGAAGAACAUAUGUGUAAGUAACUGUGCACAUCUUGACGGUACCUAAUCAGAAAGCCACGGCUAACUACGUG
rnacentral:rRNA from 1 species